rnacentral:rRNA from 1 species
UACGAAGGGUGCAAGCGUUACUCGGAAUUACUGGGCGUAAAGCGUGCGUAGGCGGUUUGUUAAGUCCGUUGUGAAAGCCCUGGGCUCAACCUGGGAAUUGCAGUGGAUACUGGCGAGCUAGAGUGCGGUAGAGGAUGGUGGAAUUCCCGGUGUAGCGGUGAAAUGCGUAGAGAUCGGGAGGAACGCCCGUGGCGAAGGCGGCCAUCUGGACCAGCACUGACGCUGAGGCACGAAAGCGUGGGGAGCAAACAGG